GAUGAACGCUGGCGGCGUGCCUAAUACAUGCAAGUCGAGCGAACGGACGAGAAGCUUGCUUCUCUGAUGUUAGCGGCGGACGGGUGAGUAACACGUGGAUAACCUACCUAUAAGACUGGGAUAACUUCGGGAAACCGGAGCUAAUACCGGAUAAUAUUUUGAACCGCAUGGUUCAAAAGUGAAAGACGGUCUUGCUGUCACUUAUAGAUGGAUCCGCGCUGCAUUAGCUAGUUGGUAAGGUAACGGCUUACCAAGGCAACGAUGCAUAGCCGACCUGAGAGGGUGAUCGGCCACACUGGAACUGAGACACGGUCCAGACUCCUACGGGAGGCAGCAGUAGGGAAUCUUCCGCAAUGGGCGAAAGCCUGACGGAGCAACGCCGCGUGAGUGAUGAAGGUCUUCGGAUCGUAAAACUCUGUUAUUUGGGAAGAACAUAUGUGUAAGUAACUGUGCACAUCUUGACGGUACCUAAUCAGAAAGCCACGGCUAACUACGUGCCAGCAGCCGCGGUAAUACGUAGGUGGCAAGCGUUAUCCGGAAUUAUUGGGCGUAAAGCGCGCGUAGGCGGUUUUUUAAGUCUGAUGUGAAAGCCCACGGCUCAACCGUGGAGGGUCAUUGGAAACUGGAAAACUUGAGUGCAGAAGAGGAAAGUGGAAUUCCAUGUGUAGCGGUGAAAUGCGCAGAGAUAUGGAGGAACACCAGUGGCGAAGGCGACUUUCUGGUCUGUAACUGACGCUGAUGUGCGAAAGCGUGGGGAUCAAACAGGAUUAGAUACCCUGGUAGUCCACGCCGUAAACGAUGAGUGCUAAGUGUUAGGGGGUUUCCGCCCCUUAGUGCUGCAGCUAACGCAUUAAGCACUCCGCCUGGGGAGUACGACCGCAAGGUUGAAACUCAAAGGAAUUGACGGGGACCCGCACAAGCGGUGGAGCAUGUGGUUUAAUUCGAAGCAACGCGAAGAACCUUACCAAAUCUUGACAUCCUUUGACAACUCUAGAGAUAGAGCCUUCCCCUUCGGGGGACAAAGUGACAGGUGGUGCAUGGUUGUCGUCAGCUCGUGUCGUGAGAUGUUGGGUUAAGUCCCGCAACGAGCGCAACCCUUAAGCUUAGUUGCCAUCAUUAAGUUGGGCACUCUAAGUUGACUGCCGGUGACAAACCGGAGGAAGGUGGGGAUGACGUCAAAUCAUCAUGCCCCUUAUGAUUUGGGCUACACACGUGCUACAAUGGACAAUACAAAGGGCAGCGAAACCGCGAGGUCAAGCAAAUCCCAUAAAGUUGUUCUCAGUUCGGAUUGUAGUCUGCAACUCGACUACAUGAAGCUGGAAUCGCUAGUAAUCGUAGAUCAGCAUGCUACGGUGAAUACGUUCCCGGGUCU
rnacentral:rRNA from 1 species